rnacentral:rRNA from 1 species
GAUGAACGCUGGCGGCGUGCCUAAUACAUGCAAGUCGAGCGAACGGACGAGAAGCUUGCUUCUCUGCUGUUAGCGGCGGACGGGUGAGUAACACGUGGAUAACCUACCUAUAAGACUGGGAUAACUUCGGGAAACCGGAGCUAAUACCGGAUAAUAUUUUGAACCGCAUGGAUCAAAAGUGAAAGACGGUUUUGCUGUCACUUAUAGAUGGUUCCGCGCUGCAUUAGCUAGUUGGUAAGGUAACGGCUUACCAAGGCGACGAUGCAUAGCCGACCUGAGAGGAUGAUCGGCCACACUGGAACUGAGACACGGUCCAGACUCCUACGGGAGGCAGCAGUAGGGAAUAUUCCGCAAUGGGCGAAAGCCUGACGGAGCAACGCCGCGUGGGUGAAGAAGGUCUUCGGAUCGUAAAGCUCUGUUAUUGGGGAAGAACAUAUGUGGAAGUAACUGUGCACGUCUUGACGGUACCUAAUCAGUAAGCAACGGCUAACUACGUG